ensembl:antisense
UACAAAGUUGUGGAAUCCAACUUUUUUUUUGGUGGGGGGUGGGACCAGAGCGGAGUAUGAACAACAGUUUAUUGAACAGGAUGGCAGGUAAAUAACUGAAUAUGUCUAUUGCUGGACACGUGUAGAAGGGACCGGAAGAAGAAAUGAAGCUAGGUACUGAGGGACCGGGGAGCAAACAACCAGAUGAGACCAGGAGGGAACCACAAUAGGAGGAAGAGACACAGACACUAAAGAUCAUAGAAAACCAAGACUGAGCUCGACGGAUCUCCGUGGCGCUGAUCUCAUUGUGAACCCACUCCCGAACCAGGAAAAUGCUUGGCCGGUGCUUGGACAACAAAUCAGACUCAUGUAUAGCACGAUCAGGCUGAAGGCUGCCACGGCUCACGCAGACCAGUCCAAAUCGGCCCACAACCUCCUCGAUGUGCUCAUCCGUCCACAGACCAGGCACUUUAAAGGAGUCCAUGAAAUCAGCUCCACACAACAGCUUCAACUGAGGAACAUCUGAAGAAAAAAAACAGUAAGAUUACUAGUUGUGUAUAAGGUAACAGGAGUCAUUAACCCUUGAGCGCUGUUGGGAAUGUUUUCAUCCACCUUGUGGGGAUGUUGAGUCUUAAUUUUGACACAUAUUUUGGGAAAAUGAUUAGAAAUUUUUAAAAAUGUCAACAAUACACUCUGGGUAAAUUUACCACCCUUUAUGUUAACAGAAAAAAAACACACAUUUUACCUCUUCCCAACAGGGAAAACCACCAACAAUCAAGAAUACAUGAUUAUUUGGUGUCAUGACUUUGCAAUCAAAAAAGUGUAAGUAUAAUGGAAGUCAAAGGGGCCAAAACAGCCACCAACAUAAAGAAAGGGUAGUCAAUUUGCCCAUAUUGUUGAGUUUUUGAAAAUUUCAAAGCAUUUCCCCAUAGUAUGAGUCAAAAUACGGGUCACCAAAAAUCAUUGCAUUUUGCUGAAAUACAUAACAAAAGGGAACAAAACUUGAAUGGUACACAAGGGUUAAAUUAAAGUUAACAGUUAACAAUGCUUUUUUACUUUUGGAAUGUUAACCCUUGUAUUGUUCAAACUUACUACCUAUUCGUUAUGCUUUCUUGAGAGUUAGCGAUUUUCUUAGCUGGGAAGAGGUAAAUGAUCAUUAGUUUGCACCAUUUGCCCUUUAGAUUUAGCCCUUUUUAAGCCAGUGCAAAAAAGUUUCUGGUUCUUAUUUGGAGCUCUAUGAAGUAUAACAGCAAAUUAUAGUGUACAUGCAUAAAUACACUCACUAAAUUACUCUGUUCUGUGAGAUGAGGUGCUUAUUUUAAUUUUUUCAGACAUAUCAAGGUACUGUAAGUGUGCAAAGGUCUCUCUCAGAUUGCGAUCAAAAAUGUGAUUAUGAUGGAAGUCAAUGGAGCAAAAACAGACCCUAACAUAACGAAUGGGUUGUAAAUUUGCACAUAGAGUAAUGUUGAGUUGUUGUUUUUUUUAUUCAAAACAUUUUCCCAAAAUGUAUGUCAAAAUAAGGAGUCACUAAAAAUCUUUCCAUUUGCUGAAACACAGAGAAAGUUGUGGCUUAAUUAAGACUCAAAAUCACAUCACCCCAAAGUGGAUGGAAACAUCCCCAACAGCACACAAAGGUUAUUCAUUGUAAAGAUGUGUGUAUGUGUGCUUUAAAACAUGAGACCUGACUUUUUUUUCUGUAAUAUAAAGGCUACAACAUGCUAACUAAUCUAUAGUAUGUUGUUUUGCCUGUUUAUAACAUCUUCUGAUGUUUAAAGCCUGUUUAGUUAAGCAAUGCUGUUCUUAUGCUGUAUUUAUUUAUUAUAAUUAUCAGUCAUUGUCAGAUGAUUUCAGUCAUAGCUAUGCAAAGAUUUUAUUUCAACAACAGUUUCGUUUGUUAUUAAACUUUCUUGUUAUUAGCUUAAAUCUGUAUUUAACCUCAGAAAAUCUUCACGUAAAAAAGAGGCGCUUAAGUCAGAAUUUGUGGUGACUGUGUUUUAAAAUUAAAUUAUUAUGAUCCUUAUUUAUACCUGGUUUAAACAUUUGGAAAUUAUAUACAGUUUUAUUUUUUAUUUUUAAAGGAUGUUUAGAAGUAAUAAAAUGCAAUCAGUUAGAUGU